rnacentral:rRNA from 1 species
GUGGGGAAUAUUGGGCAAUGGGCGGAAGCCUGACCCAGCGACGCCGCGUGGGGGAAGAAGUCUUUCGGGAUGUAAACCCUUGUUGUACGGGACGAAGGAAGUGACGGUACCGUACGAGGAAGCCCCGGCAAACUACGUGCCAGCAGCCGCGGUAAUACGUAGGGGGCGAGCGUUGUCCGGAAUCACUGGGCGUAAAGCGCACGUAGGCGGGCUGUCAAGUCGGCCGUGAAAGGCACGGGCUCAACCUGUGCAUGUCGGUCGAUACUGGCGGUCUGGAGUAUGGGAGAGGGAACUGGAAUUCCCGGUAUAGCGGUGAAAUGCGUAGAUAUCGGGAGGAACACCAGUGGCGAAGGCGGGUUCCUGGCCCAUGACUGACGCUGAGGUGCGAAAGCCGGGGGAGCGAACGGGAUUAGAAACCCUAGUAGUCC